AUUGAACGCUGGCGGCAGGCCUAACACAUGCAAGUCGAGCGAGUGGCGGACGGGUGAGUAAUGUCUGGGGAUCUGCCCGAUGGAGGGGGAUAACUACUGGAAACGGUAGCUAAUACCGCAUACCAUCGGAUGUGCCCAUAUGGGAUUAGCUAGUAGGUGGGGUAAAGGCUCACCUAGGCGACGAUCCCUAGCUGGUCUGAGAGGAUGACCAGCCACACUGGAACUGAGACACGGUCCAGACUCCUACGGGAGGCAGCAGUGGGGAAUAUUGCACAAUGGGCGCAAGCCUGAUGCAGCCAUGCCGCGUGUAUGAAGAAGGCCUUAGGGUUGUAAAGUACUUUCAGCGAGGAGGCGUUACCCGCAGAAGAAGCACCGGCUAACUCCGUGCCAGCAGCCGCGGUAAUUC
rnacentral:rRNA from 1 species